CCUUUGCAGUUUUCUAGCGAAUGGUUCAUUCUUUUUUACUGUGAACUGUUUUAAUUUUUCAGCGUCUGAGGAAUGUCUUUUAGCCAUAGGGAUAGGCUACUAGAAUGUUAACCGAGCUGAAAGUCAGGCUUAGGCCUGGUAUCCUAUUAAUUAUUUACCAAAAGAAUUCAGUAUUAUAAUUGUAACAUAAGCGUAAAAAACUUAUAAAACAACUUUUAACAACGGAUCUCUUGGUUCUCGCAUCGAUGAAGAACGUAGCAAAGUGCGAUAACUAGUGUGAAUUGCAUAUUCAGUGAAUCAUCGAGUCUUUGAACGCAACUUGCGCUCAAUGGUAUUCCAUUGAGCACGCCUGUUUCAGUAUCAAAAACACCCCACAUUCAUAAUUUUGUUGUGAAUGGAAAUGAGAGUUUCGGCUUUAUUGCUGAAUUCUUUAAAAUUAUUAGGCCUGAACUAUUGUUCUUUCUGCCUGAACAUUUUUUUAAUAUAAAGGAAUGCUCUAGUAAAAAGACUAUCUCUGGGGCCUCCCAAAUAAAUCAUUCUUAAAUUUGAUCUGAAAUCAGGCGGGAUUACCCGCUGAACUUAAGCAUAUCAAUAAGCGGGGGAAA
rnacentral:rRNA from 1 species